UAUCCCACAGACAGGGUAGUACAUACCACAGCCUUUGAUAUACCAGUCAUGGUGCACUGGCUGGAACGAGAAAUAGCCCAAAUGGGCCCACCGACAGGGAUCGAUCCCACACUGACCGUGCAUCGAGUGGUCAUAAACAAGUGUCAGCAAAUACACUGGUAACCAAACGGAAGACAAUACUUUUGUAAUGGGCCAUGUGCUGAAAAGUAACAGGCCAUAUUGUCGUAAACAAGAACAUUAUUAGAAAAUUCUAGUCUGUUGAAUGGCAACUAGCAAACCACACAAUAUUAAUGAAACCUGCUAGGGUGGUGUUGUGGUCAAGUCAUCGGAUAUAAGGCUGGUAGGUACAGGUUAUCGCAGCCUGUUACUGGCUCCCACCCAGAGCGAGUUUUAACGACUCAUUGGGUAGGUGUAAGACCACUACACCCUCUUCUCUCUCACUAACCAACUAACAAACCCACUACCCUGGACAGACAGCCCAAAUAGCUGGUGUGUGCUCAGGACAGGGUGCUUGAACCUUAAUUGGAUAUAAACAUGGAAAUAACUUGAAAUGAACUGAAAUGUUAAUGAAGUCAUACAGUUGUAACUAGCAGGCCAUGUAUUAGUAAUUAACAUGCCAUACAUUGGAAAUUAAACAUCAAUAUGUUAACAACUAACAGGCCAUCCAUUGUAACUAAAGGGCCAAACACUUGUCAAUCUACAGAUCACAUACGAUCUGUAACAAGUCAUAUACUUAUAUAGUGAUAUCUAACAGGUCAUAUAUUGUAACUAAAGGGCCAAACACUUGUCAAUCUACAGAUCAUAUACGAGUCUGUAACAAGUCAUAUACUUAUAUAGUGAUAUCUAACAGGUCAUAUAUUGUAACUAAAGGGCCAAACACUUGUCAAUCUACAGAUCAUAUACGAGUCUGUAACAAGUCAUAUACUUAUAUAGUGAUAUCUAACAGGACAUAUAUUGUAACUAAAGGGCCAAACACUUGUCAAUCUACAGAUCAUAUACGAGUCUGUAACAAGUCAUAUACUGAUAUAGUGAUAUCUAACAGGUCAUAUAUUGUAACUAAAGGGCCAAACACUUGUCAAUCUACAGAUCAUAUACGAGUCUGUAACAAGU